GUUGAUGCCUUCUAUGUCAGCUGAGCUAUAAAUCCACUUCAGGCUCCAACUAUUUGGAAAACUGUAUCUGUCCGUAUGUGUUUGCCUGUGUUCCAAGAUCCGGAAAUGGGGAGGAUACAAGAGAAAACCUUUUUGUGGCUACUUCUAAAUUGUGGAACUCCUUUCCCUGAAAGGGCCAAUUGGACCUCUCCCUGCUGUCUUUCCACUGGCAGAUAAAGAAACUAAUUUCAUGACUGAAUAGAGGAAAGCCUUCAACAAGCUAUGGAAAUGAACAAUAAUACAGAACCAGCUCCUUCCUGUUUGUUGAUCUUCAGGCUCACAUUACAGGCUAUUUCCUCGGGCAGCAAGAUCCAUAUCCAGAAAACAAAUGAUUUAGUACAAGACCAGAUUUCACCACUUUCAAACUGUAAGAGAGAAGCUGAAGGAACCGAAUUCUAAAGUUAAAGUCCUCAAACUAUCCUGCUGUCUUCACCUCGUAAAAACCAGUUCAAUGUUAUUAGAUUAUCAAUGUCAGCAGAACCACUACUUUUCCAAAAUAAAUAAAUAAAUAAAAUCUGGAAUGAUUUAGUUCUGGUUGGCCUCCCUGUAAUUUGAUGUAGAGGGCAUGAGAAAUAUCACAAUCUUUUUAAAGCAUUGCCAAGUGACUGUGUGCAAAUAACUUCCACUGGGAGCAGUUGCCCUAUCC
rnacentral:lncRNA from 11 species